UACAGAGGUCUCAACCGUUGUUCGGAUUCAUUGGGCGUAAAGGGUGCGUAGGCGGUCGUGCAAGUCGGAUGUGAAAUCUCAGGGCUCAACCCUGAAACUGCAUUCGAUACUGCGCGGCUAGAGUGCUGGAGGGGAGACUGGAAUUUACGGUGUAGCGGUGAAAUGCGUAGAUAUCGUAAGGAAGACCAGUGGCGAAGGCGGGUCUCUGGACAGUUCCUGACGCUGAGGCACGAAGGUCAGGGGAGCAAACGGG
rnacentral:rRNA from 1 species